rnacentral:lncRNA from 1 species
UGUAAGAGAAAGUCCAGGUUGUACCCAUUCUACAUCCCUGGCACAUUGGUAUGUUAUGAUAUGUUAUGAUAAGGGAAAGACCGGUUGUACCCAUUCUACGUCCCGGCACAGUUGGACUAUGUAGAGGACUAUUGGUGACAAUACCAUCCGAGAUGUGAUUAGUUGUGAUGUGUUGCAUUACAUAAUGGCAUGAAAUUUU